rnacentral:misc_RNA from 1 species
GAUGAAGAGCGCAGUGAAAUGCGAUAAUUAAUGUGAAUUGCAGAAUUCCGUGAAUCAUCGAGUCUUUGAACGCACAUUGCGCCUCAUGGCAUUCCGUGAGGCAUGCCCAUCUCAGCGUUAGAAAAUAUUCUCAAAUUUUAGUUUUGUGCUAAAAUUUGGAUCAUGUCAAGGAAGCUAUUACUAUUAUUGUGAUCGCUCUUUGGAAAUUGAUAGGUCUUUGAGUUGCUACUCAUAGAACGUGAUGAAUCUUUCUUCGUUCUAUUGUAAUUCACUCUGGUAGUCCUAAAACUUGUAUGCCUGUGGCAUAUCUUGUAAUUUGACCUGAGAUUGGGUAGGGAUACCCGCUGAACUUAAGCAUAUCAAUAAGCGGAGGA